AGCGUACACGGUGGAUGCCCUGGCAGUCAGAGGCGAUGAAGGACGUGCUAAUCUGCGAUAAGCGUCGGUAAGGUGAUAUGAACCGUUAUAACCGGCGAUUUCCGAAUGGGGAAACCCAGUGUGUUUCGACACACUAUCAUUAACUGAAUCCAUAGGUUAAUGAGGCGAACCGGGGGAACUGAAACAUCUAAGUACCCCGAGGAAAAGAAAUCAACCGAGAUUCCCCCAGUAGCGGCGAGCGAACGGGGAGGAGCCCAGAGCCUGAAUCAGUGUGUGUGUUAGUGGAAGCGUCUGGAAAGGCGCGCGAUACAGGGUGACAGCCCCGUACACAAAAAUGCACAUAUUGUGAGCUCGAUGAGUAGGGCGGGACACGUGGUAUCCUGUCUGAAUAUGGGGGGACCAUCCUCCAAGGCUAAAUACUCCUGACUGACCGAUAGUGAACCAGUACCGUGAGGGAAAGGCGAAAAGAACCCCGGCGAGGGGAGUGAAAAAGAACCUGAAACCGUGUACGUACAAGCAGUGGGAGCCUCUUUUAUGGGGUGACUGCGUACCUUUUGUAUAAUGGGUCAGCGACUUAUAUUCUGUAGCAAGGUUAACCGAAUAGGGGAGCCGAAGGGAAACCGAGUCUUAACUGGGCGUUAAGUUGCAGGGUAUAGACCCGAAACCCGGUGAUCUAGCCAUGGGCAGGUUGAAGGUUGGGUAACACUAACUGGAGGACCGAACCGACUAAUGUUGAAAAAUUAGCGGAUGACUUGUGGCUGGGGGUGAAAGGCCAAUCAAACCGGGAGAUAGCUGGUUCUCCCCGAAAGCUAUUUAGGUAGCGCCUCGUGAACUCAUCUCCGGGGGUAGAGCACUGUUUCGGCAAGGGGGUCAUCCCGACUUACCAACCCGAUGCAAACUGCGAAUACCGGAGAAUGUUAUCACGGGAGACACACGGCGGGUGCUAACGUCCGUCGUGAAGAGGGAAACAACCCAGACCGCCAGCUAAGGUCCCAAAGUCAUGGUUAAGUGGGAAACGAUGUGGGAAGGCCCAGACAGCCAGGAUGUUGGCUUAGAAGCAGCCAUCAUUUAAAGAAAGCGUAAUAGCUCACUGGUCGAGUCGGCCUGCGCGGAAGAUGUAACGGGGCUAAACCAUGCACCGAAGCUGCGGCAGCGACACUAUGUGUUGUUGGGUAGGGGAGCGUUCUGUAAGCCUGUGAAGGUGUACUGUGAGGUAUGCUGGAGGUAUCAGAAGUGCGAAUGCUGACAUAAGUAACGAUAAAGCGGGUGAAAAGCCCGCUCGCCGGAAGACCAAGGGUUCCUGUCCAACGUUAAUCGGGGCAGGGUGAGUCGACCCCUAAGGCGAGGCCGAAAGGCGUAGUCGAUGGGAAACAGGUUAAUAUUCCUGUACUUGGUGUUACUGCGAAGGGGGGACGGAGAAGGCUAUGUUGGCCGGGCGACGGUUGUCCCGGUUUAAGCGUGUAGGCUGGUUUUCCAGGCAAAUCCGGAAAAUCAAGGCUGAGGCGUGAUGACGAGGCACUACGGUGCUGAAGCAACAAAUGCCCUGCUUCCAGGAAAAGCCUCUAAGCAUCAGGUAACAUCAAAUCGUACCCCAAACCGACACAGGUGGUCAGGUAGAGAAUACCAAGGCGCUUGAGAGAACUCGGGUGAAGGAACUAGGCAAAAUGGUGCCGUAACUUCGGGAGAAGGCACGCUGAUAUGUAGGUGAAGUCCCUCGCGGAUGGAGCUGAAAUCAGUCGAAGAUACCAGCUGGCUGCAACUGUUUAUUAAAAACACAGCACUGUGCAAACACGAAAGUGGACGUAUACGGUGUGACGCCUGCCCGGUGCCGGAAGGUUAAUUGAUGGGGUCAGCGCAAGCGAAGCUCUUGAUCGAAGCCCCGGUAAACGGCGGCCGUAACUAUAACGGUCCUAAGGUAGCGAAAUUCCUUGUCGGGUAAGUUCCGACCUGCACGAAUGGCGUAAUGAUGGCCAGGCUGUCUCCACCCGAGACUCAGUGAAAUUGAACUCGCUGUGAAGAUGCAGUGUACCCGCGGCAAGACGGAAAGACCCCGUGAACCUUUACUAUAGCUUGACACUGAACAUUGAGCCUUGAUGUGUAGGAUAGGUGGGAGGCUUAGAAGUGUGGACGCCAGUCUGCAUGGAGCCGACCUUGAAAUACCACCCUUUAAUGUUUGAUGUUCUAACGUUGACCCGUGAUCCGGGUUGCGGACAGUGUCUGGUGGGUAGUUUGACUGGGGCGGUCUCCUCCUAAAGAGUAACGGAGGAGCACGAAGGUUGGCUAAUCCUGGUCGGACAUCAGGAGGUUAGUGCAAUGGCAUAAGCCAGCUUGACUGCGAGCGUGACGGCGCGAGCAGGUGCGAAAGCAGGUCAUAGUGAUCCGGUGGUUCUGAAUGGAAGGGCCAUCGCUCAACGGAUAAAAGGUACUCCGGGGAUAACAGGCUGAUACCGCCCAAGAGUUCAUAUCGACGGCGGUGUUUGGCACCUCGAUGUCGGCUCAUCACAUCCUGGGGCUGAAGUAGGUCCCAAGGGUAUGGCUGUUCGCCAUUUAAAGUGGUACGCGAGCUGGGUUUAGAACGUCGUGAGACAGUUCGGUCCCUAUCUGCCGUGGGCGCUGGAGAACUGAGGGGGGCUGCUCCUAGUACGAGAGGACCGGAGUGGACGCAUCACUGGUGUUCGGGUUGUCAUGCCAAUGGCACUGCCCGGUAGCUAAAUGCGGAAGAGAUAAGUGCUGAAAGCAUCUAAGCACGAAACUUGCCCCGAGAUGAGUUCU
rnacentral:rRNA from 1 species